rnacentral:rRNA from 1 species
CCUACGGGAGGCAGCAGUGGGGAAUUUUGGACAAUGGGCGAAAGCCUGAUCCAGCCAUUCCGCGUGAGUGAAGAAGGCCUUCGGGUUGUAAAGCUCUUUCGCAAGGGAAGAAAACUUAUCCUCUAAUAAAGGGUGAGGCUGACGGUACCUUGAUAAGAAGCACCGGCUAACUACGUGCCAGCAGCCGCGGUAAUACGUAGGGUGCGAGCGUUAAUCGGAAUUACUGGGCGUAAAGCGUGCGCAGGCGGUUUUGUAAGUCAGAUGUGAAAUCCCCGAGCUCAACUUGGGAACUGCGUUUGAAACUACAAGACUAGAAUAUGUCAGAGGGGGGUAGAAUUCCACGUGUAGCAGUGAAAUGCGUAGAGAUGUGGAGGAAUACCAAUGGCGAAGGCAGCCCCCUGGGAUAAUAUUGACGCUCAUGCACGAAAGCGUGGGGAGCAAACAGGAUUAGAUACCCUGGUAGUCCACGACCUAACCGACUAGUCUACUAGUUAGUUGGUUGGUAGUAAAGUACUACUAGUAGUAACGUACAGACUACGACGU